rnacentral:lncRNA from 1 species
CGGCCUGGCCCAGGGAGGGCCUGUACCCCCUUAGCAGCCCUGUUUCCAGCUGUUUUCCAAGGGUCGUCUUCCUGUCGCCUGAGUGCCACGGGGAGAAUGGAGUGGCCAGGCCAGCCCACAGAGGCCCCAGAAUAGACCGUUCUUUGGCUUACCUACCCAGAGGCCAGCCAGCCGCCCCAGGUCAUGGAAGCUGCAGGAGACUGAUGGGGAUGCCACCUGCCCCCUGCGAUGCUCCCCAACCAGGUCUCGGCCCAGAGCAGUGACACUGUCCAACUCGCUCCUGACACAGGCUCACGUGGUGGCCCCACAGCUAAGACAGCGUCCCUGGCCCACCUGGGCCUCUGCUGGCUCAUUCAGGGAUAACCCUCU